GCCUCUUUAGUUCAGUGGUAGAACGUAGCACUCGUAUUAUGCAAUGCUAAGGUCAGUCGUUCAAUCCGGCUAGGAGGCA